rnacentral:rRNA from 1 species
GGGGGGGGGGGGGGGGGGGGGGGGGGGGGGCGGGGGGGGCGGGGGGGCGGGGGGCGGGCGGCGCGGGUGUUGGCGGCGGGCGGGGGGGUGACGCGUGGAUAACCUACCGAUGAGACUGGGAUAACGUCGGGAAACCGGAGCUAAUACCGGGUAAUAUUUUGAACCGCAUGGUGCAACGGUGAAAGACGGUCUUGCUGUCACUUAUCGAUGGAUCCGCGCUGCAUUAGCUAGUUGGUAAGGUAACGGCUUACCAAGGCAACGAUGCAUAGCCGACCUGAGAGGGUGAUCGGCCACACUGGAACGGAGACGCGGUCCAGACUCCUACGGGAGGCAGCAGUAGGGAAUCUUCCGCAAUGGGCGAAAGCCUGACGGAGCAACGCCGCGUGAGUGAUGAAGGUCUUCGGAUCGUAAAACUCUGUUAUUAGGGAAGAACAUAUGUGUAAGUAACUGUGCACAUCUUGACGGUACCUAAUCAGAAAGCCACGGCUAACUACGUG